UACGUAGGGUGCGAGCGUUAAUCGGCAUUACUGGGCGUAAAGGGUGCGCAGGCGGCGUCGCAAGUCAGGCGUGAAAUCCCCGGGCUUAACCUGGGAACUGCGUUUGAAACUACAAGGCUAGAGUGUGGCAGAGGGGGGUGGAAUUCCACGUGUAGCAGUGAAAUGCGUAGAUAUGCGGAGGAACACCGAUGGCGAAGGCAAUCCCCUGGGCCUGCACUGACGCUCAUGCACGAAAGCGUGGGGAGCAAACAGG
rnacentral:rRNA from 1 species